rnacentral:rRNA from 1 species
UACGUAGGGGGCAAGCGUUGUCCGGAAUCAUUGGGCGUAAAGCGCGUGUAGGCGGCCAUGUAAGUCCGUUCUGAAAGCCCGGGGCUCAACCCCGGGAGGCGGAUGGAUACUGCAUGGCUCGAGUACGGAAGAGGCGAGUGGAAUUCCCGGUGUAGCGGUGAAAUGCGCAGAUAUCGGGAGGAACACCAAUGGCGAAAGCGCUCUGCUAGGACAAUACUGACACUGAGGGACGAAAGCUAGGGGAGCGAAUGGG